UCAGAGAGAGGAAGAAAAAGGAAAGAGAGAGGAAGGAAAGAGAACCCACCACCCUUUGGCCCUGGAGAGACCAAAGAUGGUCGAAGAGAGAAAACUCUGAGAUCAUCAUCAUCUUCAUCUUCCUGCAAAAACAAGGGCAAGUUCAACAAGAAAUAAAAACAUUUUCAAUCCAAUAUAUUCGUUUUUUAAACAAAAAACUCUGUUUACUUUUUUAGUUUUUUUUUUCUAUUUUCUGGGGAUUUUUUUUUUUUUUUUUUAAUUUUCAUUUCUCAAACCCUACCCAAUUCUUGGUGAAGAAGUUUCUUCCUUUAAGGAUUAACAAGAAGAAGAGAAUAAACGAGAGUUGUUGACUCUUUAGGUCAUCAACAUUUUUUUUAGGGUUUUGUGAUUUUGCAAAACUGGAAAAACAAUGAGAGACC